CAAGAGAUACAUAUUUUUGUUUAUCGGAACGUUUGGCUUUAAAUUGAAGCAAUGAUGAAUUGUACAAUUUGACAGACUAUAAUCCAAUAAACUUAAAAUGAGUAAUUUGACAACUUAAAACUAAUAAUUUGACCCACAAACUUAAAACUUAAAAUUCUAAGAAAAGGAACUUAAAAUUUAGAUUAUAAACGAGUUGACAAAUAAAUCAUGAGUACAUCUCUUGAUUAUAAUCUGACUUUUUAAUCUGUAUUCAUGAAAGAUGAGUUGCAUACAUUAUGAAAUCCGACAGUGAAACAACUGGUGAGGAAAAAUCUUUAUCGACUUUUCUUGAAAUUGCGAUUGAGAUAGACAUUGGUAGAUCUCCGACUACAAUCAUCAAUCUUGUAUUCUUCGUACUUGACAUCAGAUAGCCAAACACCGGAAUGUACUAAUAAGACGCGGUAUUCAUUAUUACGAAUCGUCGAAAAAAGAAGAAGAACUACAACAAAUAACAGAGAAGAAGUGAUAACAAAUUGAGAUUGACAUUGGUACAUCUCCAACUACAACCAUCAAUCUUGUAUUCUUUGUGCUUGACAUCAGACAACCAAACACCGAAAUGUACUAAUAAGAUGCGACGUUCAUUAGUACUAAUUAUCGAAAAAAAAGAAGAACAACAAAUAACAGAGAAGAAGGGAUAAUGAAUUCUUUUUCAAGAAUAAUGAAUUUUCUUUCUUUUGAAUGAACCCAUUAAAACUAUUUAUGACUUUCUGAGGAUUUUUGAACUAAUGAAGAGUGAUUUACUCCUCAAUUAUAAGAUUUAUGUUAUUUGCCCUUUUUAAUGCAUAUUAGCU
rnacentral:lncRNA from 1 species